UACAGAGGGCUCAAGCGUUGUUCGGAUUCAUUGGGCGUAAAGGGUGCGUAGGCGGCGCGGUAAGUCGGGUGUGAAAUCUCGGAGCUUAACUCCGAAACUGCAUUCGAUACUGCCGUGCUUGAGGACUGGAGAGGAGAGUGGAAUUUACGGUGUAGCGGUGAAAUGCGUAGAUAUCGUAAGGAAGACCAGUGGCGAAGGCGGGUCUCUGGACAGUUCCUGACGCUGAGGCGCGAAGGUCAGGGGAGCAAACGGG
rnacentral:rRNA from 1 species